UACGUAGGGGGCUAGCGUUGUCCGGAUUUAUUGGGCGUAAAGAGCGUGUAGGCGGCCUGGUAGGUCUGCUGUGAAAACUCGAGGCUCAACCUCGAGCUGUCGGCGGAAACCAUCUGGCUAGAGUCCGGAAGAGGAGAGUGGAAUUCCUGGUGUAGCGGUGAAAUGCGCAGAUAUCAGGAAGAACACCCGUGGCGAAGGCGGCUCUCUGGGACGGUACUGACGCUGAGACGCGAAAGCGUGGGGAGCGAACAGG
rnacentral:rRNA from 1 species